rnacentral:rRNA from 1 species
UCGAACGGUAGCACAAAGGAGCUUGCUCCUUGGGUGACGAGUGGCGGACGGGUGAGUAAUGCUUGGGAAUCUGGCUYAUGGAGGGGGAUAACUACGGGAAACUGUAGCUAAUACCGCGUAAUAUCUUCGGAUUAAAGUGUGGGACCGCAAGGCCACAUGCCAUGAGAUGAGCCCAAGUGGGAUUAGGUAGUUGGUGGGGUAAAGGCCUACCAAGCCGACGAUCUCUAGCUGGUCUGAGAGGAUGACCAGCCACACUGGAACUGAGACACGGUCCAGACUCCUACGGGAGGCAGCAGUGGGGAAUAUUGCACAAUGGGGGGAACCCUGAUGCAGCCAUGCCGCGUGAAUGAAGAAGGCCUUCGGGUUGUAAAGUUCUUUCGGUAGCGAGGAAGGUGGUUGUUUUAAUAGAACAAUCAAUUGACGUUAACUACAGAA